rnacentral:ncRNA from 2 species
UGAAGAUGACAGGGGUGCCCGCCUGGCGGCACGCGGACGGGCUGAGAUCACACCCUUCGGACCUGAUCCGGAUAAUGCCGGCGAGGGAAGUCAUGACCCAACUACA